UACAGAGGUCUCUAGCGUUGUUCGGAUUCAUUGGGCGUAAAGGGUGCGUAGGCGGCGCGGUAAGUCGGGUGUGAAAUCUCGGAGCUUAACUCCGAAACUGCAUUCGAUACUGCCGUGCUUGAGGACUGGAGAGGAGACUGGAAUUUACGGUGUAGCGGUGAAAUGCGUAGAUAUCGGAAGGAAGACCAGUGGCGAAGGCGGGGCUCUGGACAGUUCCUGACGCUGAGGCACGAAGGUCAGGGGAGCAAACGGG
rnacentral:rRNA from 1 species